GCGAGGGUAGCCAAGCCUGGAAACGGCGGCGGACUCAAGACCCGCUCCCGAAGGGGUUCGUGGGUUCAAAUCCCUCCCCUCGCA
rnacentral:tRNA from 1 species